UUGCGCAUUGAAUGCGACUUGGUGCUUCAAAAAACACCGAAGAUGAUAGCUUCAAAAGUUUCAUCUUAUGCUUUAUUUUCUAUUUUUUGGUUUAUUUCUUCACCUGCUAUAGCCAAAAAUCAGCAGUAUCCAGAUGUCAACAGCUCAAAGUUUUUGCAAAUCGAAGAACUUUUGAAGCAAACAGCAUCUACUUUAUCUGAUAAUUUCAAAAUUUGGUCUUCAGAUUUAUCAAAUCCUGCAAGCCACUUGUUGCAAUCUAAUUUAUUUAACUGUAGCUUCAUAGAUAGUUACAAUCUGGAAAACGUUAUUCCAAAUGACGAGGCUUUAGCAUCAAAUAAAAAUUACUUUCUUUCGAAACAACAUUCCUCGGUAAUUUAUCCAGAGAGUUUGGUGUCAGUUUUCGGAAAACAUUUGAACUUCUCUGGAUAUUCACACUUCAGCGUUUUUCCGCACUUGUUGAGCAAACUGUGUUUCGGCGUGAACGAAGUGGAACCGAAGCUGAAAAGUUUGCGAGACUCAUUGGGUUCUUUGGUGACGUCAUCCACUUAUCAUUCCAACACUGGAUUCUCUAUUCUACAUCCAGCCAUAUCUGCGCCAAAAGUAUUCCGGAAUAGCCCGGAUUCAAAUUCACGCUUACACAAGGGUUACUUGAAACUACUUCAGCCUUCGAAGUCACUGAUUAUUCUAGUGGACAAUUCCAAUGUGGCCUUCACCAAUACCAUCAGAGCUUUUCUUUUCUCACUUCUUGAAACAAUAACAGAUGCAGAUGAAGUUUAUUUGGUCUAUCUCGAUAGUAGACUGGGUAGUGAGUUGAAA